rnacentral:lncRNA from 1 species
ACAUGGGGAGGCCCAGCCAGUCAAACCCAGAACAGCCCGGCUGAGCUCAGCCUAAUUCUGUGACUUUCAGGAUGAGUAACAAAAUAAAUGAUUCUUAUUUUAAGUCAAAAUUUUGGAGAGCAAUCUUCCUCUUGUCAAUGUCUAUCUCAGUGCUAUUUCAGACUCCUUUCGUACUGUCAAAUCUCACUCAACUUUUAGCAUCUAUUUCAAUUGGCAUCUCUUCCAAGAAGAUUUUUCUAAUUUCCUCAAGUGAUGUGUUAUCUCCCCUAUAAUUGAACCCCAUUUUGAUAUUUGUGUCCCUUUUUAGCUUUUUUUUUAACUUGUUUUCUAUUAGAGGUGUUAGUGUCCUACUCAUCUUGCUUUUCCUACAGCUAGUAAGUGGACAUCCAGGAGGUACAAGGAUAUAUCCCAGACCUGGCCAGUCAUGCUACCAUUUCCCAUAAUAAUCUCCUUAAGAAGUGAGCACCAGACCCAAGUCAUUCAGAUACUACCUGUAAGAUAUAGGCACUGAGGGAAAGAGUCUGGUUUUUCUUUUAGAUGAAGAGCUAUAAGAAUGGAAUCGAGACUAGGAGAGGAACAUCCAAAGGAGAGAAAAUGACUGCAGUGGGAGAGAACAAGAGCUACGAUCAAAAAGAGGAGAGACAAGCAGCACUGAGGAAGACAGAAGGGUAAGAAGAGAUGAUGUCAGAAGUGGGAUCCAAAGAAAAGCUUCCAGUGACCCCCAGGAGCACUGAGUGACCAAGCAAGGUACCUUUGCAGACUAGAAAACCUCUCCCUCUGCACACUGAGAAUUCCCACUGCAGUGAAUGGAAGGUCAAUGUAUGUAAAGCCCACGUGAGCAGUGGCGGUUCAAGCCCAGAGAAAGAAGGUGUUGAGUUGCCUUGGUAAAGAAUUUAUACACCAUGUGUUCACAGCUUCUUGACAGAUGAUUCUAUUUUUCCUCAUGAAGGCAAAGAAUAACCAACAUUUAUGUUACGACUCUUAGGGCUUUUAGUAGUGCUUUUGUUGAGGUAGAAGCCAGCAAAACCUCUCUCUGCUAGGCUGGGAGCACCAAUAUUCCUUCUCUGACGUGGACAUUAAAUCUGUCUCUCUUCAUAAGGUCAGCCUGACACCACAUGAAACAGAGUAGGCAAUUACCUCUAUGGUCAGAGUUUGGGGAGCAGUCUUGCCAGAUACUACCCCCAUACCUGCCACUCUUCCACUAUUAGAGGGUCAUUUCUUUCAGAGAGAACAGUGAUUUUUACAUCUUCGUUCUCAAAGCUGCAGAUAUUUUUAUUUCAAUGAAUGCCAAGCACCAUAUUGAAAACAGAUUUUAACAAAAUUGUUCUGUUUACUUUGCGUCAACACUCUCCAGCUGUCAUGCUUUAAAGAGAUGUGCCCAACCUCCCCUGGGGCCUACUGAGUGGAUUGAAAACCGUGCAUAAACCCAUUGUGUUUCCUCAGGAGUCACCAACGAGAUAUUAUAUAACAACACAUAAGCAUUAACAUUUUAACUAUUAUAAUAUCAUCAUUCUGACUACUACUUCUAUCACUAAUGAAAAUUUAUUGAGUGCUCACUAAGUGUCACAUAUUUUGCUAAGAGUUUCACAUUUUUUUUUCAUAUUUAAUCUCCACAACAGACCAUUUUACUGAAUCUUAGAUUGAAUAACUUCCUAAAGGUCAUUUAGCUACAAAGUGACCAGAGAUCUAGACUGAGUUCUUUUUUUUUUUUUUGAGUUGAAGUAAAUCUUCACUUCCCAGACUCAAGCGAUUCUUCUGCCUCAGCCUCCUGAGUAGCUGGGACUACAGGCAUGUGCCACCACCUCCAGCUAAUUUUUGUAUUUUUAGUAGAGAUGGGGUUUCCUCAUGUGAGCCAGUCUGGUCUCAAACUCCUGACCGCAGGUAAUCUGCCUGCCUUGGCCUCCAAAGUGCUGGGAUUACAGGUGUGAGCCACCGUGCCUGGCCUAGAGGCUGAGUUCUUAAUGAAUUAAAUGAUAAUAUAACUACAUGUCCUGAAGGAAUGGGACUCAGAACAGGUGAAUUUUAGUAAGUCUUGGAUCUCUUCAUCUAUCCAGGGCAGGAGUCAGCCUGAGAGAGAGCACUGGGCAUUCAACAUGUGGGCCACUGACAUACCUGUUGGGAAGAACCAGCUGCAACAAAUGUUAGUAUUGCCCUCAGUCAUGAUUUAUAAUUUAACUGAUUAACAAUUUAUUUUUAAGAAAAGCUUCUUUUCCAUAUUAGUGUGUCUUGUUGAUCAAAUUGCCUACUAACUCUUAAAAGAGCCAUUGUGGUAGGCAGAAUAGUGCCUCCUCGUCCACUAAAUGUUAAGUCCACAUCCUAAUCUCCAUAAACUAUAAAUAUGUUUGAUUACAUGAUAAAGGGCAGUUAAGGUUGUAAAUGAAAUUAAGGUUGCUAAGAAGCCUAUGUUAAAAUAGGGAAAUAACCCUGGAUUAUUUAGUUCAAUCCAAUGUAAUUAAAAGUGGAAGAGGGAUGAGUCAAAGAAAAAAAAUCACAAGAGAAAUUUAAGAAUAUUUUGAACCAAGUAAAAAUAAAAAAUAAAAAUGUUUUGAUAAGUUGUGGGAACCAAAAAAUCAAUCAUCUAUGCUUCUUCCUUAGGAAACUAGAAAAAGGGCAAAUUAUAUCCAAAGUAAGCAGAAGAAAACAAAUAAUAAACAUUAAUGAAGAUUAAUUUUUCAUUAAUAAAAAUUAAUGUGGAAGAAAUCAAUGAAAUUGAAAAUAGGAAAUUAAUAGAGAAAAUCAAUGAAAUCAAAAGCUGAUUAUUUAAAAUGAUCAAUAAAAACCAAGCACUGUGGUGCAUGCCUGUAGUCCCAGCUACUUAGGAGACUGAGAUGGAAGAACUAUGUGAGCCCAGGAAUUUAAGUCCAGCCUAGGCAACAUAGCAAGACCCUUCAUCUCGAAAAAAAUAAAAUAAAAAGACGGAUAAAAUCAAUAAACUUCUAGCCAAGCUAACAAAAAGGAAGAGAAGACACAAAUUAUUACUUCUAUUAGAAAUGAAAGUGGUCACAUCACUACAAAUACCAUGGACAUUAAAAGCAUAGUAAAAAAAUACUAUGAACAACUUUAUAUCCACCAUUUUGAUAACCUAGAUGAAAUGGACAAUUCCUUGAAAGACACAGUCUGGGCCGGGUACGGUGGCUCACACCUGUAAUCCCAGCAUUUUGGGAGGCCGAGGCUGGCGGAUCAUCUGAGGUCGGGAGUUUGAGACCAGUCUGACCAACAUGGAGAAAACUGGUCUCUACUAAAAAUACAAAAUUAGCUGGGUGUGGUGGCGCAUGCCUCUAAUCCCAACUACUCGGAAGGCUGAGGCAGGAGAAUUGCUUGAACCCGGGAGGUGGAGGUUGCAGUGAGCUGCGAUCGUGCCAUUGCACUCCAGCCUGGGCAGCAAGAGUGAAACUCCGUCUCAAAAAAAAAAAAAAAAAAAAAAAAAAAAAAGACACAAUCUGCUAAAACUCACAUGAGAAGAAAUAGACAAUUUGAAUAGGUCUAUAUUUAUAAAAGAAAUCGAAUCAAUACUUAGUAGCCUUCCAAAGCAGGAAGCACCCGACCCUGAUAGGUUCACUGGAGAAUUCUACCAAAAUUUAAGAAAUAAGUUAUACCAAUUGUCUAUAAUUGCUUUCAGCAUAUCAGAUAGAAGCAGAGCGAAUAUUUCCUAACUCAUUCUAUAUGGCCAGCAUUACAUUAAUACCAAAGCCAGACGAAGACACUAGAAGAAAAAAAAACCAACUACAGACCAAUAUCUCUCAAGAACAUAAAUUUAAAAACCCUCAACAAAAGUUAGCAAAUCAAAUCCAACAAGAUUUAAAAAUGUUAAUGACCUUAAUGUCCAUUCAGAAGAGAUUGAUUAUUGUAUACCUAGAAAUUAAAACUUUACACAGAUAUUUAAAAUGUAGACCUAAGUCUACUAAUGUUAACCAUAUUGUUUAAUUUUUAAAAAUCAGGUUAUAAUUUAGCAUGUAAAAUAUGAGUGAAAAUAAGCAUAUAUAUAUAUAUAUAAACAUACAUAUAAACAUACAUAUAUAGAAAUAACAUUUCUGGAGAAAAAACUGUGUACUAAAAUGAAGUGAGAUUAUAGCUGAAAAGUUAAUUUAUUCUUUAUACUUCUCUACUGUCUAAAAAUUUUGCAAUGAAAAAGUGUCACUUUCAUACACAAACAUCAAAUGUAAAUCAAUAGAAAUAAAUUAACAGUUUUGCAAGCACCAAGACAACAACAAAAGUGAAAGAGGGGGACAGAAAACAGCGUUGUGAUGAAGGCAGAGGUCAGAGAAAUGCAAUGUGAGAAGGAUUCCACUACCGCUACUCGUUUUGAAGAUGGAGGAAGGGCCCAGGAAGCAAUGAAUUUUCCCCUAGAGCCUCCUAAAGCCCAGUAAAACUGUGUUGGACUUCUAUCCUACAGAAUUACAAGAUAUAUUUUUAAAAUUGUAUAUUCAAUUGGCAAAUAAUAAUUGUAUACAUUUGUGAUGUACAAAUUUGUGAUGUACAAAUAAAUUUGUGAUGUAUAAAUAUAUUGAAUUGAUGUUUUGAUAUGUUUAAAAUGUGAAAUGAUUAAACCAGAUAAAAUAAUUAACACAUUUUAUCACCACACAUACUUAUUUUUUGUGGUGGAAAUAUUUAAAAGCUAUCCUUUUAACAAUUUUGAAAUAGAUAUUAUUAUUUAACUCAUCAUUCUGUGCAAUAGAUCACUAAAGCUUAUUCCUCCUGUCUAACUGAAACUUUAUACCCUUUGGUCAACUUCUCCCCUUUCUUUCCCCGAUCACCCUUCUCCUCUACCUCUGAUAAUCACUAUUCUACUCUCUACUUCUAUGAGUCUAACUUUUUUUUUUUUUUUUUGAGACAGUGUCUUCCUCCGUUGCCCAAGCUGGAGUGCAGUGGUGCGAUCUCGGCUCACUGCAACCUCCACCUCCUGGGUUCAAUCUAUUCUUUUGCCUCAGCCUCCUGAGUAGCUGGGAUUAGAGGUGCACCACCACACCUGGCUAAUUUUUGUAUUUUUAGUAGAGACAGGGUUUCACCAUAUUGGCCAGGCUGGUCUCAAACUCCUGACCUCGUGAUCCACCCACUUCGGCCUCCCAAAGUGCUGGAAUUACAGGUGUGAGCCACCGCACCUGGCCGAGUCUAACUUUUUAAGAUUCCGCUUAUAAGUGAGACAUGUGGUAUUUGUUCUUCUGUGCCUGGCUUAUUUCAUUUAGCACAAUGUCUUCCAGGUUCAUCCAUGUUGUUGCAAAUGAAAGAUUUCCCUCCCUUUUAAGGCUGAAUAGUAUUCUGUUAUGUAUGUCUAUUUAGCUGAAGCUGGACACCUACGUUGCUCCCUUAUCUUAGCUAUUGUGAACAAUGCUGCAAUCUACAUGUACUGCAGGUAUCCUUUUAACAUGCUAAUUUCAAUUCAUUUGGAUAUAUCCCCAGAAGUGAGAUUGCUGGAUCAUAUGGUGGUUCUAAUUUUAGUUUUUGAGGACCCUCCUCCAUAUUAUUUUCCAAAAUGGCUGUAUUAAUUUACAUUCCCACCACUGGUGCACAAGGAUUCCUCUUACUCCAUACGUUUGCAAACACUUGUUAUCUUUUUUCUUUUUUAAAAUUUAAAAUUUUACUUUUUUUUUUUUUUUAGAGAUGGGGGUCUCACUAUGUUGCCUAGGGUGGACUCAAAUUCCUGGACUCAGGCAAUCCUCCUGCCUCACCCUCCUCCUCCUGUGUAGCCGGGACUACAGGUGCUUGCUACCACAUCUGGCUUUGUCUUUUUUUGAUAACAGCCAUUCUAACAGGUGUGAGGUGAAACCUCACUGUGGUUUUAAUUUGCAUUACCCUGAUUAUUAGUGACAAUGAGCAUUUUUCAUGCAUCUGUUAGCUAUACCUUAGGCUUCUUUUGAGAAAUGUCUAUUAAGUCAUUUCCCCAUUUUUGAUUGGGUUAUUUGUUUUCUUGCUAUUGAGUUGUUUAAGUUCCAUACAUAUUUUGGAUAUUAGUCCUUUAUCAGAUGUAUGGUUUGCAAAUAUUUUCUUCUAAUCCAUGGGUUAUUUCUUCAAUCUGUUGUUUCCUUUGCUGUGAAGAAGCUGUUUAGUUGGGUAGAAUCCUGUAUGUCUAUUUUUACUUUUGUUGCCUGUGAUUUUGGGAAGGUAUCCAAUAAAUCUUUGCCCAAACCAAUGUUGUGGAGCGUUUCUUUCAUUUUCGUCUAGUAGUUUCACAGUUUCAAGUCUUACAGUUAAGUUUCCAAUCAUUUUAAGUUGGUUUUGUUAUGGGGUGAGAUAAGGGUCCAAUUUCAUUCUUCUGCUUUGGAUAUCCAGUUUUCCCAACACCAUUGAUUGAAGAGAUUGUCCUUUAUCCAUUGCAUGUUUUUGAUACCUUUGUCAAAAAUCAAUUAACUGUAAAUAUGUGGAUUUAUUUCUGGGUUCUCUAGCUUGUUCCAUUGGUCUAUGUGUCUGUCUUUAUGUCAACAGCAUGUUGUUUUGAUUACCAUAGCUUUGUAAUAGACCCUGAGGUCAGGUAGUGUGAGGCCUUCAGUCUGGUUCUUUAUGCUCAAAGUUGAUUUGGCUAUUUGAUGUCUUUUGUGGUUCCAUGCAAAUUUUGGGAUUUUUUUUUCCUACUUCUGUGAAAAAUGACAUUGGAAUUUUGAUAGUAAGAGCAUUGAAUUCUACAGCAUUAUAGGAAACAAUAAAUUUGUGUUAUUUUAAGCUACUAUAUUUGUGGUAAUUUUUAUGGUAGCCAUGGAAAGCUAAUGCAUCUUUGAGGAUGAAGUAAUUUGAAGUAUGGGGUACUAUUUUAAAGGUAAUCGAUAAGGGUGAUUUGGAUAACUGCAUAAGACUGAAUCCCCAGACAGUUCACAAAUAUGUCUGUGAAGUGGGGUCAGGAAAAGUAAGGGUGGCAAUAUGAAUAAGAGCAAGAGGCUUUAAAGCCCAUGUUCCUGUGUUUGAAUCGUGGCCCUAUUACUUGUUAUAAUAGCUGUGAAAUGUUAGGUACAUUUAAAAAACUCCUAUAUGCUUCAGUUUCCACUUUAUUUUUAAAUUUUUUUAAUUUUUAAUUUUUGUGGGUACAUGAUAUAUAUAUUUAUGGGGUCCAUGAGAUGUUUUGAUACAGACAUGCAAUGUGUCAUAAUCACAUCAUGGAAAGUGGGGUAUGCAUCCUCUUAAGUAUUUAUCCUUUGUGUUACAAACAAUCCAGUUGUACUCAUUUAGUUAUUUUUAAGGGUAUAGCUAAAUUAUUAUUGACUAUAGUCACCCUGUUGUGCUGUCAAAUACUAGGCCUUAUGCAUUCAUUGUGUUUUUGUACCCGUUAACCAUCCCCACCUCCCUCCCCACUCCUCCACUAUCCUUCCCAGCCUCUGGUAACCAUCCUUCUACCCUCUAUCUCCAUGGGCUCAAUUGCUUUGAUUUUUAGUUCCCACAAAUAAGUGAGAAUAUGUGAUGUUUGUCUUUCUGUGCUUGGCUUAUUUCACUGAAAAUAAUGAUCUCCAUGUUAUUGCAAAUUACUGAAUUUUUUUUUUUUUUCUGAGACAGAGUCUUGAUCUGCCAUCAAGGCUGGAGUGCAGUGGCAUGAACCUGGCUCACUGCAACCUCCAGCUCCUGUGUUCAAAUGAUUCUUGUGCCUCAGACUCCAAAGUAGCUGGGAUUAUAGGCGUGUGUCACCAGCUCUGGCUAAUUUUUUUUUUUCUUUUUUUUGUAUUUUUACUAGAGAUGGGGUUUUGCCAUGUUGGCCAGGCUGGUCUCAAACUCCUGGUCUCAAGUGAUCCAGCCGCUUUGGCCUCCCAAAAUAUUGGGAUUACAGGUGUGAGCCACCGUGCCUGGCAUGAAUCUCAUUCUCUUUUAUUGCUGAAUAGUACUCCAUUGUGUACAAGUACCACAUUUUCUUUAUCCAUUCAUCUGUUGAUGGACACUUAGGUUGCUUCUAAAUCUUGGCUAAUGUGAACAGAGCUGCAGCAAACAUGGGAGUGCAGAUAUCUGCAGUGGGAACCUCCAAACUGUUCUCCAUAGUGGUUGUACUAAUUAGUUUACUCUUUAAAACAAGAUUAAACAUAGUACCUAAUCUGCAUAAGGCUAUUGUAAAGAUUAAGUAAUUUAAUAUAUAUGAGGCACUUAAAAGAGUUCUUGGCACACACUAAUUGUUUAAUAAGUGUUAGUCAGCUUUAUGAUUAUUUCUGUCCGGUGUUCUGCUUGGAAACUCUGGGUUCCUUGCAUUCGAUUUUAUUGGAGUCAUCCCCUGGAACUUGGUUUUCUUAGUGACUAGGCGGAUAGUUUUCGUAAUAAUUCCCUGGAUUAGAUCAUCAGGAUCAUGCAUGUGGUAAUGCUAGAAGAAGGUAGAGAAGGGUUUUAAAGGUAGGCAAAAUAAAGAAAAUGGGGGGUCUUUAGAGUGGGAGGAAAAAGAGAUUUGGUGAGGCUACUGUCAAAUGCCAGCAACUUUGUAAAUUUAAUAAGAUACAGGCUGGUUUUGACUGGAAUGAAUUCUCCACCCUAGAUCUAGCCAUGGAGGUCAGGGACACGAUUUUGGUCUUGACUUCCUCAGAAUGUUGAUAUCUCCAGAGAUAUUCCUCUUUCUUCUUAUUUUUAUUUUUUGAGAAUCUGGGUGAAAUAUUAUAUACAUGGAGUCACAAUAAAAAACUGAGGUGCUUCAAGCUGAAUAAAUAUAACACUCUGAUAUGGUUUGACUGUGUCCCCACCCAAAUCUCAACUUGAGUUGUAUCUCCCAGAAUUCCCGUGUUGUGGAAGGGACCCAGGGGGAGGUAAUUGAAUCAUGGUGGCUGGUCUUUCCUGUGCUGUUCUUGUGAUAGUGAAUAAGUCUCACGAGAUCUGAUGGGUUUAUCAGGGGUUUCUGCUUGUGUUUAUUCCUCAUUUUUCUCUUGCUGAGACCAUGUAAGACGUGCCUUUCAGUCUGGGCAUGGUGGCUCACAUCUGUAAUCCCAGCUACUUGGGAGGCUGAGGUAGGAGAAUCGCUUGAACCCAGGAGGCAGAGGUUGCAGUGAGCUGAGAUCGCACCACGGCACUGUAGCCUGGGUGACAGAGAGAGACUCUGUAUUAAAAAAACAAAAAACAAACAAAAAAUAGUGGCUUUCCCCUCCAGCCAUGAUUCUGUGGCCAUGUGGAACUGUAAGUCCAAUUAAGUCUCUUUUUGUUCCCGGUUUUGGGUACAUUUUUAUCGGCAGCGUGAAAAUGAACUAAUACAACUCUUUCUCAAAAAAAGUGGGUAUAGCACGAAUAAAACCCGAAUUCAUAUUCUCUGUUAACAUUUCUAGCAUAUUAUUGUGCAGCAAUAAUUUUUUUACAUUUUAGAAAAUGUAAUGUGUAUCCUUCAAUAUUAUCAAAUAUAGAAGUUAGGGGAAAAGACUAUUGAUUUUUACUUUAAGAGAGUUUACAAUUAAAAGUAAGCAUAAGAGAAAAUUUCCUGCACAGUACUUGCAUUAAAUCUUUUUUCCACUUGUAUUCACUAUUUACCAUUGCCAGGUGCUUUAUAACUUUUACCAUCUCAGAUAAAAAAACAUAUUAUUUCUAAUUUCAGAGUAGAAAUUGCAUUUCAUUUGAUAAACAAUAAGAUAAUAUCAGACAAGUAUUUUGAUUUUACUUGGUUUUUGCUUGACUGGUUAAAUUUUAUAAAAACCUGAGAUGCUUAAAGUCUAAUAGUUCAAAUUAGCUUCAAACUUUUCUCAGAAGCAACUGUAGUAAGAAUUAGCAAGUGUGACAAUCCCAUUUAGUCCUUAAAAAUCAAAUUAAUUAAAAUGUAAUUAAGAGCUAAUGUAAGUCUCUUUGACUGAAGUCACCAUAAAAUCCAUGAAUGACAUGACUUGGAUGUAUUUUAUUUGUACCUGAAAUGGUCACUACAGUUUUAUCUCAAUGUGUGUGUAUUGCAAGUGCCAUCUUGGCAGGCACAAAUACAAAUUUCAUGUUCACUUAAAUCGAACUCUACUAUAUCUCAUGCCAG